GACGAACGCUGGCGGCGUGCUUAACACAUGCCAGUCGAACGGAAAGGCCCUGCUUUUGUGGGGUGCUCGAGUGGCGAACGGGUGAGUAACACGUGAGUAACCUGCCCUUGACUUUGGGAUAACUUCAGGAAACUGGGGCUAAUACCGGAUAGGAGCUCCUGCUGCAUGGUGGGGGUUGGAAAGUUUCGGCGGUUGGGGAUGGACUCGCGGCUUAUCAGCUUGUUGGUGGGGUAGUGGCUUACCAAGGCUUUGACGGGUAGCCGGCCUGAGAGGGUGACCGGCCACAUUGGGACUGAGAUACGGCCCAGACUCCUACGGGAGGCAGCAGUGGGGAAUAUUGCACAAUGGGCGGAAGCCUGAUACAGCAACGCCGCGUGCGGGAUGACGGCCUUCGGGUUGUAAACCGCUUUCGCCUGUGACGAAGCGUGAGUGACGGUAAUGGGUAAAGAAGCGCCGGCUAACUACGUG
rnacentral:rRNA from 1 species